rnacentral:lncRNA from 1 species
GUUACGACAGUGGUGAUCAAAAUUGAAGAUGGAGAAGACAGACGCAAUCAAGAUGGAGAUCUACCGUAAAAGAUUGAUCAAUGCUCUCUUAUGCAAGGGAGAGCCAUCUACAUGGAGGAUGCCAGCAGGAGCCCAGUAUGAGAUGGAGCUUUAGGUGAUGGAUCAAGCACGGGAUAAAAGACUCGGAAAGAUGAUUCUCGACGUCGUCAGGAGGCUACCUCGAGCAGGUCU